GGGUUGUGAGGUUAAGCGACUAAGCGUACACGGUGGAUGCCCUGGCAGUCAGAGGCGAUGAAGGACGUGCUAAUCUGCGAUAAGCGCCGGUAAGGUGAUAUGAACCGUUAUAACCGGCGAUUUCCGAAUGGGGAAACCCAGUGUGAUUCGUCACACUAUCAUUAACUGAAUCCAUAGGUUAAUGAGGCGAACCGGGGGAACUGAAACAUCUAAGUACCCCGAGGAAAAGA
rnacentral:rRNA from 1 species